GGGUUUCCCAAACAGGCGUGUGUAUUGGACGCCUCUGGAGGAGAGCAGGCUGGCGCCGAGGCCCGGCCUUGAGAGCGGCGCGCGCUAUAAAUUGGCGCGUGCGGCAACACGCGUCCGCUUUGUAGAGAGAAAUUUUGGUGCAGCUUCAAGCUUAGGAUUACCCACCAUGCCCAUCCAGGUGCUGAAGGGCCUGACCAUCCCUUGGUAAGAACAGAGGAGGCUGCCUGUUACUCAUGGUGAUGGCGAGAAGGUGGACGUAGACAGGCUCUCUGCUGUUUCCUGCCUAGGCGUGGCUGCAGCCGUGGCUAGGAAAGUGCUGCACCCACCCCCCUGGGCCGGAGCUGGUUCUGCUCCCGCUACAGGGACACAGCUCCUGGCUGUCUCGGCGCUUCGGGCAAGAACCGCAACAAGCUCUCCUGGGCCCUGCAGGUGUACGGCCGGGCGCCUGCCUUGUGCCUCAUCUCUCAAGAACUGCUGCUGCUGCUGGGCGACCUGAUCCAACCUGACAAGGUGCCAUCUUCAGCUACCACUGCAAGGCCCUGAGGGCAACAGCAGCGCGGCACUGCCCACCUGGCUGCUGGUGGCCUGGUGCCAGCUGGGAGUCCUCCCAGCACUUCGAGGCCACUGAGCCGCCCUUCCAGCCCUGGCCCACCAUGGAGAGGGGUAUCCAGCUUCCUCUUCAACCCCAUCGUCUGCCCCUGAGCCAGUGACGCCCAAGGACAUGCCUGUUAGGUUACCCAGGUCCUGUACCAGCGCCAGCUGGUCAAGGGCAUGACGUUGUUCUAGGCUGUCCUGGACAUCCAGGCCAUUGCCGACAGCAGGCUGCUUUCCAUGGAGCCAGAGGCUGCCAGGCUCACGCUAGGACCCAACCCAGUGCACAUGGACCUGGCUGCUGAGCCGCACACCCAGGAGAAGGUGGAUAAGUGGGCUACCAAGGGCUUCCUGCAGGCUGGAGGAGGAGCCACCCUGCUCCCCUGUUCUGACCAGGCCUGUGGGGAGGAGCUGCCUACAUGCCGCCAUGAGACCUGGGCCUGGCUGCCAAGGACAGAUACCACUUGGCCUGGUGCUCCAGGGGUGAAACAGGCCAGAAUCCUGGGGGAGCUGCUCCUGGUUUGAGCUGCAGUCAGGAAGUGCGGGACAUGGUAGGGGAGGCAAAAAGCCUUGGGCAGUACCCUCCCGGUGGAGCCAUUCGGCAUCCCUCGAGCUAGCCACACCCUGACACUGUUCAAGGGCUCCGGAAGAGAGGGGUGUCUGCCCUCAACCUCUCCCCGCCGUGGGUGUCACUGGCCAGACGUCAUGAGGGGAGCAGGCUGCGUGAGUGGACACUUACCAUGAGUGUCUGGGGGGAGUGAUUCCCCCAUGCAUUGUGUGCCAUAUUACAUUUCUGCCCAGGCAGCAGGGUAGGUGGGUACCAUGGGUGCCCACCCCUCCACCACAUGGAGCCCCAAAGCACUGCAGGCCAAGCAGGGAGACCCCACACCCAUGACAUAAAAGCAUCUUGAAGCUUUUA